rnacentral:lncRNA from 1 species
UUAGGGCUAGGCUAGGUUUUGUGUUAGCUUUAGGGCUACAGCUAAUGUAAGAACUAGGGUUACACUUAGGACUAGUUUUAGGGUUAGUAUUGCAUCUAGGUUUAGUGUUUGGUUAGGUUUAGGGUUAAGGUUAUGUUUAGGGUAAGGAUAGGUUAGAGUUAGCGAAUGUGUUAGGGUUAGGCCGAGGGUUAGCAUUAGGGAGCUUGGAUUAGGGCUAGGCUAGGUUUUGUGUUAGCUUUAGGGCUAUGGCUAAUGUAAGAACUAGGGUUACACUUAGGACUAGUUUUAGGGUUAGUAUUGUGUCUAGGUUUAGUGUUUGGUUAGGUUUACGGUUAAGGUUAUGUUUAGGGUAAGGGUAGGUUAGAGUUAGCGAAUGUGUUAGGGUUAGGCCGAGGUUUAGCAUUAGGGUUAGGAUUAGGGUUAGGAUUAGUGUUAGUGUAAUGGAUAGGGUUAGAACUAGGGUUAGGGCUAGGGUUAUGGUUAGUGUUAGUGUUAGGGUUAGUGUUAGGUUUAGGGUUAGUGCAAGGAUUAAAGUUAGGGUUAGGUUCAGGGUAAGGGUUAGGACUUGGUUUAGGUUUAUAGUUAGGUUUAUAUUUAGGUUUAUAAAGCUAUGGUUGGGGCUCACAUUAGGGCUAGAUUUUGGGUUAAAUUGGGGUUAGUGUUAGGGAUAGAGAUAGUGUAAGAACUAGGGUUAUGAUUCAGGCUAAUUUUAGGGUUACAUUUAGGGCUAAGUCUAGUUUUAUGGUUAGGUUAAGUUCAGGGUGAUGUUUUGAGCUAGGGUUACUCUUAGGUUCAGAGUCAGGGUCAGGGUUAGUUUUAGGGUUGGGGAUAGGACUCGAAUUUGAGGUAGGCUUAGGGCUAGAUGUAGGGUUAAGAUUUGGUUUAGGUUAAGGGUUAGGGUUAGUGCUAUGGCUCAUUAUGUUUUAGGGCUAAGGCUAAAGUUAAAUGUCAUUUUACGAUUAAUGUUAGUGUUAUUACUAGUGAUAGGAUGAGUUUAGGUUUAGGGGUACACUUAGGGUUAUGGUUAAUUCUAGGGUUAGGGCUAUGGCUAGUUAGGGCUAAGGUUAGGUAUAGUGUUAUGAUUAGGGUUAGGUUUUGUGUUAGGUUUAGAGCUAGUUUUAGUGCUAGGAUUAGAACUAGGUAUAUAACCUGGGCAAUAGAGUUCGUCUUAAGGUUAGGGUUAGGGUUAAGUUUAAGGCUAAAUUAGGGCUAGGAAUAUGUCUAGGAUUGCUGUUUGGGUUAGGCCUAGGAUUAGUGCUACGUUUAGGAUUAGGUGUAGGGUUAGGUUUAGGAGAAGGGAUGGGGUUAUAGCUAGGUUUAGGGCUAGGGCAAUGAUUAG